GAGAGUUUAACUCAGUAGGCAGAGUGAAUAAUUUUUAACUAUUUGGCCAUAGGUUCGAUUCCUAUAACUCUUA
rnacentral:tRNA from 1 species